ACGGAGGGUGCAAGCGUUAAUCGGAAUUACUGGGCGUAAAGCGCACGCAGGCGGUUUGUUAAGUCAGAUGUGAAAUCCCCGGGCUCAACCUGGGAACUGCAUCUGAUACUGGCAAGCUUGAGUCUCGUAGAGGGGGGUAGAAUUCCAGGUGUGGCGGGGCAAUGGGUGGAGAUCGGGAGGAAUGCGGGUGGGGAAGGGGACCACAUGGACGUAGAUUCACGGUUAGGUGCGAAAGUGUGGGGAGCACAAAG
rnacentral:rRNA from 1 species